rnacentral:lncRNA from 1 species
GGGUGAAGGUUUAGGUGGUUGUUAGAGAAUAACUUGUAUUGAGCAUGACUAACAUGAGAACCACAUGGAUGUCUACUCACUCGUCAGUGGUCUUUUUGAUGCUACAGUGGUGUGAAUGGUCCUUUGACCUGUGGUAUCAUUAGCUAUUCACAGUGAGACUAUUAGAUUUGACUACACAUUUCCUUGGUCGCUAGCCAUUUUGGUCCUUCUUGUGUAUGUUG